rnacentral:rRNA from 1 species
UACGGAGGGGGCAAGCGUUGUUCGGAUUUACUGGGCGUAAAGGGCGCGCAGGCGGCCGCAUUUGUCAGGCGUGAAAGCCCCGGGCUUAACCUGGGAACUGCGUUUGAUACGGUGUGGCUAGAGUUCGGGAGAGGAGAGUGGAAUUCCCAGUGUAGAGGUGAAAUUCGUAGAUAUUGGGAAGAACACCGGUGGCGAAGGCGGCUA